CAAGUCGAACGGAGCUUAAGAGAGCUUGCUUUUAAAGCUUAGUGGCGAACGGGUGAGUAACGCGUGAGCAACCUGCCCUAGAGUGGGGGACAACAGUUGGAAACGACUGCUAAUACCGCAUAAGCCCACGGUACCGCAUGGUACUGAGGGAAAAGGAUUUAUUCGCUUUAGGAUGGACUCGCGUCCAAUUAGCUAGUUGGUGAGGUAACGGCCCACCAAGGCGACGAUUGGUAGCCGGACUGAGAGGUUGAACGGCCACAUUGGGACUGAGACACGGCCCAGACUCCUACGGGAGGCAGCAGUGGGGGAUAUUGCACAAUGGGGGAAACCCUGAUGCAGCGACGCCGCGUGGAGGAAGAAGGUUUUCGGAUUGUAAACUCCUGUCGUUAGGGACGAUAAUGACGGUACCUAACAAGAAAGCACCGGCUAACUACGUGCCAGCAGCCGCGGUAAAACGUAGGGUGCAAGCGUUGUCCGGAAUUACUGGGUGUAAAGGGAGCGCAGGCGGGAAGACAAGUUGGAAGUGAAAACCAUGGGCUCAACCCAUGAAUUGCUUUCAAAACUGUUUUUCUUGAGUAGUGCAGAGGUAGAUGGAAUUCCCGGUGUAGCGGUGGAAUGCGUAGAUAUCGGGAGGAACACCAGUGGCGAAGGCGGUCUACUGGGCACCAACUGACGCUGAG
rnacentral:rRNA from 1 species